UUGCGAUGUUCGCGGCUAGAGUAAAGAUGGCUGUGGUAUGUGUAUUAAGUGUGACAUUAUUAAGUAUGUUCCUCCAGUUUUUGUAAUAUUUUUUGUGAAAAAAAAAGCAAAAAUGUCUACAAGAGCCAAAUACAUAUUAACUUUAGCACGUAGCCAGUUGACGGAGAAUAAAGUUUCAGAUAUAGAGACAGUCAAUGAUGAUGAUGACAUGUCGUCACCUGAUAAUGAGAUAAAUACUCGCAUAAGAUAUUCGACGGAAGGAAAGAAUAAAGCGGAACAACCUACAAGUAAUUGUUAUUUAAGUUUAUUUUAUAAAAUAUUUUUGUAUUAUUAUUGGGCAAGGGCCUUGUAAAUAUGCCCUUUUGUAUUAUUAUAAUGGAGUAUCAUGUCUGGUUUGAA